GGAGUGCACGAGAGUUUUCCGCAUUUCUAGUGGUGUUUAAUUGUGUGCGUGCAUCUAAAAAACCACACAAACACCCACAUGUUUGUACAUGCUAGUGGAAAUAAAUCUUCUGUGAAUCAAGAAGCAUCUUCAUUGCGUUUUGACCGGACGUACCACAGUGAUUAAUUCAACCCGAACCACAUUAUUUCAUUAGGUCUUACAUGCUGAUGGUGUGCAAGAACGUAGCGCGCAUCUAACUCCAAUCUGUGCUGAAGUUGCUGGCAAAGGUCUGACAACUGUAGGCUCCUGUGAGGUGGAGAUCUCACAACCCACACCGGCCUUCCAUCAGCAAUGGCAUCCUCCUCAUCAGACAUCAGUUCCAGCGUUGCUGUCUGCCACAGUUCUCUCUCUGUAUCUGUUUGAAUGACCCUGGACCUGGACUCCAGCAACUGCAAAAAUACAUCACAAGUUAACCUCUAAAAACACCCAGAGAUGUACCAAACUUAAUACAGAGAUGAAUUUCUACA